UACAGAGGGUGCAAGCGUUGCUCGGAAUCAUUGGGCGUAAAGGGCAGGUAGGUGGUCUUAUUUGUCUGGGGUGAAAUCCCUGAGCUUAACUCAGGAAGUGCCUCAGAAACGGUAAGACUUGAGUGCUGGAGAGGGUCGUGGAAUUCCCGGUGUAGCGGUGAAAUGCGUAGAGAUCGGGAGGAACACCAGCGGCGAAGGCGGCGACCUGGACAGUGACUGACACUCUACUGCGAAAGCGUGGGGAGCAAACAGG
rnacentral:rRNA from 1 species